UACAGAGGUCUCGAGCGUUAGGCGGAAUCACUGGGCUUAAAGCGUGUGUAGGCGGAUCGUUAAGUGCCUUGUGAAAUCCCACGGCUCAACCGUGGAACUGCUUGGCAUACUGGCGGUCUUGAGCAACCUAGGGGCGAGCGGAACAAAUGGUGGAGCGGUGAAAUGCGUAGAUAUCAUUUGGAACGCCAAUGGUGAAAACAGCUCGCUGGGGGGUUUGCUGACGCUGAGACGCGAAAGCGUGGGGAGCGAACAGG
rnacentral:rRNA from 1 species